GUAUUAGUCGAUGCCCCUGUAGCUCAGUUGUAGAGCCCCUUUAUGUGGUAGCGAAAGCGCCUAGCAAUAACUACGAGGAGGUCGCAGGUUCAAAUCCUGUCCGGUAGCUA